AGCGAACGCUGGCGGCAGGCCUAACACAUGCAAGACGAACGAACCUUUCGGGGUUAGUGGCGGACGGGUGAGUAACACGUGGGAACGUGCCUUUAGGUUCGGAAUAACUCAGGGAAACUUGUGCUAAUACCGAAUGUGCCCUUCGGGGGAAAGAUUUAUCGCCUUUAGAGCGGCCCGCGUCUGAUUAGCUAGUUGGUUAAGGUAAUGGCUCACCAAGGCGACGAUCAGUAGCUGGUCUGAGAGGAUGAUCAGCCACAUUGGGACUGAGACACGGCCCAAACUCCUACGGGAGGCAGCAGUGGGGAAUCUUGCGCAAUGGGCGAAAGCCUGACGCAGCCAUGCCGCGUGAAUGAUGAAGGUCUUAGGAUUGUAAAAUUCUUUCACCGGGGACGAUAAUGACGGUACCCGGAGAAGAAGCCCCGGCUAACUUCGUG
rnacentral:rRNA from 1 species